UACGAAGGGAGCUAGCGUUGUUCGGAAUCACUGGGCGUAAAGCGCACGUAGGCGGAUUUGUCAGUCAGUGGUGAAAGCCCGGAGCUCAACUCCGGAACUGCCAUUGAAACUGUGAGACUUGAGGACGAGAGAGGUGAGUGGAAUUCCCAGUGUAGAGGUGAAAUUCGUAGAUAUUGGGAAGAACACCGGUGGCGAAGGCGGCUCACUGGCUCGUUUCUGACGCUCAGGCGCGACAGCGUGGGGAUCAAACAGG
rnacentral:rRNA from 1 species